AGUGGGCUGUUCAGAGCCACCUGGAGUUUAUUACGGAGAGUAGUGGUGUCAGGGGUCGUUAAGAGCCACGUGGAGUUUGCUACGGAGAGUAGAGUGGUGUCCAUUAUCGUGACUUGCCAGAGAGUAGUGGAGCCACACGAAAUCCACUGCAGAGAGUGGAGCAGGGUAGUGGCCAUUGUUGUGACUUGCCAGAGAGUUUGGAUCUGUCGGCUGAAGCUCGAUUGGGACAUCUGAUGGAGCAGAAUGGCUCUUUAUCCCGUUGAUCUGGGUGAAGCUCGGAUGCCUCAAAGCUACUAACGAGUCUACUGCUGUCGGAUACCUUAGGCGCUGAUACCACAGGUGGGAGUCAUCUACUGUAGAAGCUCAGAUGGAGACUUUUUAUUGGUGAAGCCCGAUAGGAGUCCGAUUGCUAGAGAUGUCCGUCUGGGAUUCACUGGAUGUGGAAGCUCGUCUGAAGAUGAUCCACUGGAGAAGUUCGAUUUCAUGAAGGAUCUGGCGGGGGGUCGGCCAGCGAUGGACUUCGGAUGGUGCUGGGGAGGUUCGGCAGACGUCAGAGUUGAUCGGUCAUUGUAAGAAUCUAGCUGUCAGAGUCCAUCCAUCGUAGAAGCUCAUCCGAUAUCCAUUCACUAUGGAAGUUCGGUCGAGGUCUGGUUCUUGCAGAAGGCUGAAAGGAGAUCGCUUAUUGUAGAAGCUCAAUCGAAGGUCAGUUGUCGUGGGUGCUAGGAGUAGCGAUCUGGCCGGUGGGUCCUAUCCCGCUGUAGAAGCUCGUCUGGGAUCCAGCUACGAAGAAGCUUGGCUGAAGUCUACCUAUAAUGAAAGUUCGAAAGAGGCGUGUUUAUAGUAGGGGCUCGAAUGGAAUUUGCUUAUAGUAGAGAUCCAGAGUAGACCACCCGCUGUAGGAGUUCGGAGUAGACC
rnacentral:lncRNA from 1 species